rnacentral:rRNA from 1 species
AACGACUCUCGGCAACGGAUAUCUCGGCUCUCGCAUCGAUGAAGAACGCAGCAAAAUGCGAUACUUGGUGUGAAUUGCAGAAUCCCGUGAAUCAUCGAGUUUUUGAACGCAAGUUGCGCCCGAAGCCUUCCGGCCAAGGGCACGUCUGCCUGGGCGUCACGC